UACAGAAUCCCCGAGCGUUACCCGGAUUUAUUGGGCGUAAAGGGUCCGUAGGUGGUUUAGUAAGUUGAAAGUUAAAACUCAUCGGCUUAACCUUUGAGGUGCUUUCAAUACUGCUAUACUAGAGGGCGUUGGAGGUUAGCGGAACCGACGGAGUAGGGGUGAAAUCCGUUGAUAUCGUCGGGAACACCAAAAGCGAAGGCAGCUAACUAGGACGACCCUGACACUGAGGGACGAAAGCGUGGGGA
rnacentral:rRNA from 1 species